UGCAGGGGACUGCCCCUUGCAAUUGUGGCCAUCGGCGCUGUACUAGCUCUUAAAGACAAGAGAAUUGUGGAUGAAUGGGCUGCUGUGUGUGGCAGUAUUGGAGCUGAAAUUGCGGGAAAUGAUCAACUUGACAGCAUGAAAAAAUUGCUGUAUCUCAGUUACAGAGAUUUACCGUACCAUCUGAAAUCUUGUUUCUUAUAUCUGAGCAUCUUUCCUGAUUUUUACAAAAUUGAGCAUAUGAAAUUGAUUCGGUUAUGGUUAGCUGAAGGAUUUGUUAUUGGAAAAGAGGGAAGGACACCGGAAGAAGUUGCAGAGAGUUACCUCAGAGAGUUAUUAAACAGAAGUUUGAUUCAAGCAGCAGAAACAUCAACUGAUGGGAGAGUAAAAUCAUAUCGCAUCCAUGAUCUUUUACUGGAGAUUAUCAUUUUGAUGUCUAGAGAGCAAAACUUUGCAGCAAUAGAAAAAGGGCA
rnacentral:lncRNA from 1 species